GAAACACAUUAAUCUGUCCCUGGUCUCAUAGGGGAAACUUUCUCUCACUCUUUCAUGUUGUUUAUAUGUUGAUCUUCAUGUAACCUUUAUGUGAUAUCCCUGAAUUCCCACCAUAAAAGAACGUAAUAGACUGUGGUGAUGUGGAUAUGCCAUAAAGACUUCUUUUUUGUAUUAGAUGCAGUGGACUCUUCAGUGUACCUCAGAAUUUGUCAUGGAUGAAGCUGUUCUACUAGCACUGACUACUGACUUUUGAAACUCCUAUCUAAGUCUUCAGCCACUACUGCAAUCCUCAUGCAAGACCAAGAAGCGAAUACGUGCAAAACUUCAGGGUGAAGUCAUGGAAGACUAAAAUUUUUCUAUGUUCUCUGGAAAGAGGGAGGCUAGAGAACCCUGAUAAUCUACUCGUUCCUUUGAACAAAUAUACCUGAAUUAUAUGAGAGAAAUACUUCAGAGAAGAACUUGAAAUAAAGUGCCAGAUGUAACGAUUUAAAGAUUAAAAUUCAAAGUGGAAACAAUGGUCUUCUCCUUAGAACUUCUUUGAACAUACAGAUGGAAAGAUCUGAAGGUAUUUAUAAACACUUUUUGCAAGAAAUGCCACUUAGGAAUCGAGCUAUAAAAAUUAGAUAUUAUCACACACUUUCUUUGCAGCCAUUAAAAGUAGUUGAUUUACAGGUCCACAGUUAUUUCUAGUUACAAAGCUCCAAAGGAGCUGAAAAGGAAAGAGGAAAACUUGAUAAAUAAUGACAUUUUCAAAACGGUUUUGUGCAAAGAAUUUAUUCUUUCACAGUAAAGGGCCAUAAGGAGCAUCCUUUAGUACAAUGAAUUAAAUUUUUGUAGUAAUACAAAAAUCACAUUACUGUGUUCCUUUAAAUUACAUUACUAAAUAAAUAUUAGUUAUCCCCUUUGCCAUCCUCCAAUAAACUUGAGGCAUUUACAUCAGAAAUGUGAAACUUACUUGAACAAAUGGUAUUUAAAUCAUCUGUAGCUUGAGAAGCUAAUUAGAAAGGAAAGGAGUGCUGUUUUGUGGCUGUAUUUAUAGACCAUAUUUCCCUUCGCAGUAAACCAAGAAGUCUGUGUGUGCAACAAAAGACUAUCUAACAAGCUCUUGAAUAAAGAGUAAUCAGAAAUUGCUACAUAAAAUAUUUUCAAUAUUUUUCAUACAAACCAUGAGUACAGUGAAGCAAUCUGGAGCAGUCACAAUCUCAACUCCUAAAAAUCAUGUAAUUAGUGCACAAUUUCAUUGGGAACUAUGCCACAAGAUUAUAAGCAGAAAUGCAUUGGCUUUGAGGAGCAUAGCUGCACCAGGUGACAUCAACAAAGAAAAUCUGGCUAGAAUCAGAAACCUUGCCCGUGCUAUUACAAAAGUCUAUUUAACUAUAAUCACAAUGUAGUAAACUACUGGAACGCUACUCCAGAGAUAUUUGUCACGUAGACAAAUACAACGAUCUUGUCUAUAUCUGCACCAUUUUAAAAAAGAGUAGCAAAGUUUGCAGUAAGUACGUAUGUACAGUUUGAAUGGAUGUUUGUGCUUAUCACAGUGCAUGUGCAUACACAUUGUGAAGGGAUUUACUGCCCACGGAAAUGCAUAGGAAUGUAUUCUUUUAAACAACAUACGUCUGGAGUGCAAUUUAAAAGCCUAAGAGGGAUUUAUGUAAAGCUUCAGGAAGAAAAUGUUUUUAGAAACCAUUCUGCUCUCAAAAUAAGUGUUAGUUAAAAUCUUAAGUUCAGACUAAAAAGGAGCAAAUAGACAUACUUAACUAAAUUGCUGCAAUUUCAUAGGAAAAGCAACAGAGCAGAAAACCCAUAAGACAAUAGAGUUAUCUAAAUGAAUAACUUUCAUCAUCAUAUUCAAGCUCAUCUUCUUCAUCAUCCUCCAAAAGUCCAUACCUAAAUUUAUGAUAGACUGUGCCAUCCUGACCCAUGUAUACAAUGUCAUCUUCUUCAUCAUCAUCUUCAAUAUCUCGAUCUCUGUAUUCAAUCACUUGGUCUUCCUGAUAGCUUGGGCUCUCAUGAUAAUUGCUCGCAUAGGAAGGAAGGGUUUUGGAGUCAUUUGUCAGCUUCUCAUACCUACCUUUACUGGCAGUGCGUGGUUUUGAUUUUGAUUUUCUCCAGAUGACUACAAUGGCUCCAAUGACGAGGAUAAGUAAAAUACAGAUAAUGACAAAGAAAGCGCUCUUGUUUUUGCUUGCUGGUUGUAACUUGGUUCGUAACACACAGUCAUCUGAC